rnacentral:rRNA from 1 species
CGAGCCUGCAGUUCGAACGGCAGCACGAGGAGCUUGCUCCUUGGUGGCGAGUGGCGGACGGGUGAGUAAAGCGUAGGGAUCUGCCUUUUGGCGGGGGAUAACUCGGGGAAACUCGAGCUAAUACCGCAUAGAUUCUGAGGAAUAAAGCUAGGUUUUCGGAUCUGGCACCAGAAGAUGAACCUACGUUGGAUUAGCUAGUUGGGGGGGUAACGGCUCCCCAAGGCGACGAUCCAUAGCUGGUUUGAGAGGAUGAUCAGCCACACUGGGACUGAGACACGGCCCAGACUCCUACGGGAGGCAGCAGUGGGGAAUAUUGGACAAUGGGGGCAACCCUGAUCCAGCGAUGCCGCGUGUGUGAAGAAGGCCUGCGGGUUGUAAAGCACUUUAGUGAGUGAGGAAGGGUAGUUGAUUAAGAGUUGACUACUUUGACGUUAGCUCAAGAAUAAGCACCGGCUAACUCUGUGCCAGCAGCCGCGGUAAUACAGAGGGUGCAAGCGUUAAUCGGAGUUACUGGGCGUAAAGGGCGCGUAGGCGGGCUGUUAAGUUAGAUGUGAAAGCCCUGGGCUUAACCUGGGAAUUGCAUUUAAGACUGGCGGUCUAGAGUAGAGAAGAGGUAAGCGGAAUUUCCGGUGUAGCGGUGAAAUGCGUAGAUAUCGGAAGGAACACCCGUGGCGAAGGCGGCUUACUGGUCUCAUACUGACGCUGAGGCGCGAAAGCGUGGGUAGCGAACAGGAUUAGAUACCCUGGUAGUCCACGCUGUAAACGAUGAGUACUAGCUGUUGGGGACUUAGGUUCUCAGUAGCGCAGCAAACGCCCCUAAAUACUCCCCCCCCGGGGGAGUAUCGGCCCCCAAGGCUAAAC